AUAGAGGAAUAUUACUAAGGCUUAGUAGGUAAAAGAGUGUCUUGAUCCGAGUGGGCAGAGAACAUGGCGGUCUGUCGGCAAGAUAGAGGGUCAUGCAUAUGAGUGAAACUGCACAGAUUUCUUACUCACCUUUGAAUGGAUUCAUUUUGUACACCGCUAUCUGAAUAUGUGGAACAAGAUAGUUCACAUGCUUUAAGAAUGACAGAAUCUCUUGUCGAACACAUCCUUUGUUAGUCAACUGCCUUUUACGCUAUGUGUAUGUGGUUUCUUUCCAGUUGUGUAAACAGAACAUGGUCUGUAAGUUAAGUUGAGGUGCAAACUAUAGGAGAGUUGUAGUGUGUCCCAGUGUUGUAACGUGCUAGAAAUAACAGUAGCUCGAGGGUGUGUAUGCACAGCAGGUGCUUAUGUACUGAGAAUUUAUAAGUAAAGUGGUUUUAGAUCUCAAUUCUUGCUUGAAAUGAACUGAUUGUGGUGCAACGACAGACGUACA
rnacentral:rRNA from 1 species